AUUGAACGCUGGCGGCAUGCCUUACACAUGCAAGUCGAACGGCAGCGGGGACUUCGGUCCGCCGGCGAGUGGCGAACGGGUGAGUAAUGUAUCGGAACGUACCAUUCAGUGGGGGAUAACUAUCCGAAAGGAUAGCUAAUACCGCAUAUUCUGUGAGCAGGAAAGCAGGGGAUCGCAAGACCUUGCGCUGAUUGAGCGGCCGAUAUCAGAUUAGCUAGUUGGUGAGGUAACGGCUCACCAAGGCUACGAUCUGUAGCGGGUCUGAGAGGAUGAUCCGCCACACUGGGACUGAGACACGGCCCAGACUCCUACGGGAGGCAGCAGUGGGGAAUUUUGGACAAUGGGCGCAAGCCUGAUCCAGCCAUGCCGCGUGAGUGAAGAAGGCCUUCGGGUUGUAAAGCUCUUUCGGCCGGGAAGAAAUCGCAUCAGCUAAUACCUGGUGUGGAUGACGGUACCGGAAUAAGAAGCACCGGCUAACUACGUGCCAGCCGCCGCGGUAAUAC
rnacentral:rRNA from 1 species